AUUGAACGCUGGCGGCAGGCCUAACACAUGCAAGUCGAACGGUAACAGGAAGCAGCUUGCUGCUUCGCUGACGAGUGGCGGACGGGUGAGUAAUGUCUGGGAAACUGCCUGAUGGAGGGGGAUAACUACUGGAAACGGUAGCUAAUACCGCAUAACGUCGCAAGACCAAAGAGGGGGACCUUAGGGCCUCUUGCCAUCGGAUGUGCCCAGAUGGGAUUAGCUAGUAGGUGGGGUAACGGCUCACCUAGGCGACGAUCCCUAGCUGGUCUGAGAGGAUGACCAGCCACACUGGAACUGAGACACGGUCCAGACUCCUACGGGAGGCAGCAGUGGGGAAUAUUGCACAAUGGGCGCAAGCCUGAUGCAGCCAUGCCGCGUGUAUGAAGAAGGCCUUCGGGUUGUAAAGUACUUUCAGCGGGGAGGAAAGGAGUAAAGUUAAUACCUUUGCUCAUUGACGUUACCCGCAGAAGAAGCACCGGCUAACUCCGUG
rnacentral:rRNA from 1 species